rnacentral:rRNA from 1 species
CCUUGGCACUAGGAGCCGAUGAAGGACGUGAUAAGCUGCGAUAAGCUUCGGGGAGUUGCACGUAAACUUUGAUCCGAAGAUUUCCGAAUGAGGAAACUCACUUAGAGUAAUGUCUAAGUAUCAUUAAGUGAAUACAUAGCUUAAUGAGGGGAACUCAGGGAACUGAAACAUCUAAGUACCUGAAGGAAGAGAAAGAAAUUCGAUUCCGUAAGUAGCGGCGAGCGAACGCGGAUUAGCCCAAACCAAUAAAGUUUUCUUUAUUGGGGUUGCGGACAUAUCAUAACGAAGAGGUAUCGUAAUUGAAGAGGUUUGGAAAGACCCACCACAGAAGGUAAUAGUCCUGUAUGUUAAACGAGAAGACUUUAGAUAUGAUCCAGAGUACCACGGGACACGUGAAACCCUGUGGGAAGCAGGAGGGACCACCCUCCAAGGCUAAAUACUACCUAGUGACCGAUAGCGUAUAGUACCGUGAGGGAAAGGUGAAAAGAACCCCGGGAGGGGAGUGAAAUAGAACCUGAAACCCUGCACUUACAAGCUGUGGAAGCACAUUUCUUGUGUGACCGCGUACUUUUUGUAGAACGGGCCAACGAGUUACGUUAAGUAGCAAGGUUAAGCACUUAAGGUGCGGAGCCGUAGCGAAAGCGAGUUUUAACUGAGCGUUCAGUUACUUGACGUAGACCGGAAACCGGGCGACCUACCCAUGAGCAGGAUGAAGCGAAAGUAAAAUUUCGUGGAGGUCCGAACCCACGAGCGUUGAAAAGCUCGGGGAUGACUUGUGGGUAGCGGUGAAAUUCCAAUCGAGCCCGGAGAUAGCUGGUUCUCCCCGAAAUAGCUUUAGGGCUAGCCUCAAGGUGAGAGAUACGGAGGUAGAGCACUGAAUGUCCUAGGGGGUAUUGCACCUACCGAAGACUAUCAAACUCCGAAUGCCGUCAUCUUAUACUUGGGAGUCAGACUGUGGGUGAUAAGAUUCAUAGUCGAAAGGGCAACAGCCCAGAUCGUCAGCUAAGGUCCCUAAAUGUAAGUUAAGUGGUAAAGGAUGUGGGAUUGCACAGACAACCAGGAUGUUGGCUUAGAAGCAGCCACUCAUUCAAAGAGUGCGUAAUA